CCCUUAGAUGUUCUGGGCCGCACGCGCGCUACACUGAUGCAUUCAACGAGUCCAACCUUGACCGAGAGGUCCGGGUAAUCUUUGAAACUGCAUCGUGAUGGGGCUAGAUUAUUGCAAUUAUUAAUCUUCAACGAGGAAUGCCUAGUAAGCGUGAUUCAUCAAAUCGCGUUGAUUACGUCCCUGCCCUUUGUACACACCGCCCGUCGCCCCUACCGAUUGAGUGUGUUGGUGAGGAGUUUGGAUUGGCCUCGGAAGGUGGUUCGCCACCGUCCGUAGCUGAGAAGUUCUCCAAACCGCCCCACUUAGAGGAAGGAGAAGUCGUANCA
rnacentral:rRNA from 1 species